ACGGAGGGGAGAACAGGGAGAAAAGGAGGCAUUGGAAAGGAGAGAGAAGAACAAACUGACCUAGUGGAACAGGCUUGAGGAGCAGCUCACUCCAUCACAACUGACUGGACUCUGGAUCCAGAUGACACUGGCAGGUACAGGAAGCAGGAACUUGGACAGGUAGAGUGAUCACUCUGUCUCCUUCUUUUACCGAUCUUCCUCCCGGUGCCGUCGUGGGUGGAUGAGAGUUGAAGAAUCAGGACAGCGGAUGACAGCUAUCCUCGCAUGCAAGAAAUGUUAGUCCACAUGCGAAGGAGAACUGGGGCUGGACACGCUUUCCAAAUCGCUGAUGGUGGAACAGUUUGUACUGGCUGCUGCAUUGGGGUGUUGGGACUCUAUUUAUUGCUUGGCGACACAAAUAAAAAUAGAAAAGCAUGACCCAAGCACGAACAGAUGGUAAAGCAGUUUCCUCCAGCCAAUUCAGGCAGAGAUGGCUGGGGGGAAACACAGAGGUAGGCAGCCAUGCAGGAAACCAUCAAACCAAGAAGGUAGUGUUGUUAUAUCACAGCCUGGGGGGGACUCUGGAGAGAAAGCCUUACACAGCUGCAGAGGAAGGGCAUGUGCCCGCCAGUCCCCAGCCCUACCCUGUGAGUACUGGAGCCCACAAUAACCUCUCUUUUUCUUGUUCACACAUACACCCACACACCCCUCUCAUACGCCCCACCACAGGAAGCCCAGCUGAAAUAAAUCAGCCACUAGCCCUUUCCUUCCCUCAGCUGAGGCUGUUCACAUACAGGCUGUUCAGGCUCCUACUCUGUCUACAGCUGCUGAAGAAUCCCUGUCCUGCUCCUCCCAGAAAAGACUCAGCCACAGAAGCCUCAACAGUAGACUGCCAGUGAACUACUGUGGCUCCCCCAGGGGACAGCAGAUACGACAAUGAGAAGGUCCUUCUUACCUCAGAAGAGAGAAAAAUCAUCUUCUGCAGCAUUGCCCCUGAAUAGUUGGGGAAGAAAGUGUUGUGCAACUGUUGUAUAAAGGAGGGUAUGACGUUCAAAAAGGCCUGUUGAUUAACAAUGAAGGUGCCUCCAAGUUCUUUGAAUCAGGCCUCACCGCCACCUCCUAUAAUCAAGUGGCUCAGAGACAUUAUACAGACAAAAGCCAUGGGAACUGAAGAAACAAAUAUGCCAUUGGCACACCACCAGAACCAUGGCAGGAGAGCAGGACAACGGGGAUAGCUACUGAUGAAUGUGAUCAGAACCAUAGUGCAAAAGAGGAGCAUGAGGCCAAGUCACUCACCCAACUUUUGCUUGAGACUCUAGAACCCUAAGAGGACACUUCAAAUGAUUCAAAACACAGCGGGGGUGGGGGGCAGUACAGAGAGAAGUUGUGUGGCUAAAUGUUUAAGAG